rnacentral:rRNA from 1 species
CCGCUCAGAACUUAAAGGAAUGACGGGGCCCGGCACAAGCGGUGGAGUAUGUGGUUAAUUCGAUGCAACGCGAAGAACCUUACCUGGUCUUGACAUCCCGGAGACCCUUAGGAAACUAGGGGGUGCUUCCAUCUGGAAGAAUCUGGAGACAGGUGCUGCAUGGCUGUCGUCAGCUCGUGUCGUGAGAUGUUGGGUUAAGUCCCGUAACGAGCGCAACCCUUGCCUUUAGUUGCCAGCAGUUCGGCUGGGCACUCUAAAGGGACUGCCGGUGUUAAACCGGAGGAAGGUGGGGAUGACGUCAAGUCCUCAUGGCCUUUAUGACCAGGGCUACACACGUACUACAAUGGCCGAUACAAAGGGCAGCGACACUGCGAGGUGAAGCCAAUCCCGUAAAAUCGGUCUCAGUCCGGAUUGGAGUCUGCAACUCGACUCCAUGAAGUUGGAAUCGCUAGUAAUCGUGGAUCAGCAUGCCACGGUGAAUACGUUCCCGGGCCUU